CCCCUUCAGCGGAGCCGUCACUCAACAAGGCCCCGCCCCCCAGGGCCGGCCCGCGCUGGCCGACUGGAAGGUCUCGCGGGAGGGGUCCGGGCGGGCCUACCCGCGCAGGCUGCGACGUCACCUUGCGACGCGGGCAUCCCUGGGCCCCGCCCACCCCAUUUAAACCCCCUGGACUCAACAUGGCGGCGGCGCACCCUCGGACGCCUGACCCCGGCGUCCCCGGGCGCGGGUAAGGGGCAACCCUUUCGUGUCCAGGGCUGCUGUCCUCCAUACGCAGCGAUGCGUGUCCGUCCGCCUGCGCGUCGUAGCGCCACCUGGGGGCUGGCCCCUCCCCGGCGAGGUCGGUGACCCUGAACGACCCUCCUGCGCCGCGCGCGCCCCGGAAGCGCUGGCGUGUCUCCCGGAAGUGGUUUUUCUUCCUCUCCCACCGUCGGGGCGGUGCCGCUGGCGGGGAAGGCGGGGUCCACGUGCCGGCUUGUGGAGAGCGGACUUCCUAGCGCUUUCCGCGUCUGGCGGUGCCUUCCCCGUUCCUGAGUAGCCUUUUUAACGGAAGCGUAAUCGGAGAGGCCGGGCCGCGGCUGUGGGCAGCGGCCACAUCGUCAGGCGCCUCGGGCUGCUGACCCAGCGCGGCUUGCCUUACCUGUCUGAGCUUCUCAGGACAGGCCGAGUCCACGCGGCCAGGAGCGGGGGCGGCGGUGUCCUGCCUUCGGGCCCUGCCGGCGGGUGGAUCCAGCAGAUGGGAACAUUGCCCCCUGCGCAGCGUGCAUGCGCACCAGGACUGCGGGAGCCCCCGCUUGAAGGGAAGACGACGGCACCCACCGUGGGCACAACUGCGGUAACAAAGAAUAUCAGAGUCAGGGGCGCCUGCCUGCACGGCUCAGGGGUUGAGCAUCUGCCUUCGGCUUGGGUCGUGAUCCUGGGAUCCACCUGUGCAUUGGGCUCCCCGCAGGGAGCCUGCUUCUCCUCCUGCUCCGGUCUCUGCCUCUCUCUGUGUGUCUCUUGUGAAUAAAUAAAUAAAAUAUAAACAUAUAUAUAUGAGAUUCA
rnacentral:lncRNA from 1 species